AGAGUUUGAUCAUGGCUCAGGACGAACGCUGGCGGCGCGCCUAACACAUGCAAGUCGAACGAGAGAGAGGAAGCUUGCUUCCUCAAUCGAGUGGCGAACGGGUGAGUAACGCGUGAGGAACCUGCCUCAAANAGGGGGGACAACAGUUGGAAACGACUGCUAAUACCGCAUAAGCCCACAGGUCGGCAUCGACCAGAGGGAAAAGGAGCAAUCCGCUUUGAGAUGGCCUCGCGUCCGAUUAGCUAGUUGGUGAGGUAAUGGCCCACCAAGGCAACGAUCGGUAGCCGGACUGAGAGGUUGAACGGCCACAUUGGGACUGAGACACGGCCCAGACUCCUACGGGAGGCAGCA
rnacentral:rRNA from 1 species